UGCCUUUUAACACAUUGCAAGUCGAACGGGAUCCAUCAGGCUUUGCUUGGUGGUGAGAGUGGCGAACGGGUGAGUAAUGCGUGACCGACCUGCCCCAUACACCGGAAUAGCUCCUGGAAACGGGUGGUAAUGCCGGAUGCUCCGACUCCUCGCAUGGGGUGUCGGGAAAGAUUUCAUCGGUAUGGGAUGGGGUCGCGUCCUAUCAGGUAGUCGGCGGGGUAACGGCCCACCGAGCCUACGACGGGUAGCCGGCCUGAGAGGGCGACCGGCCACAUUGGGACUGAGAUACGGCCCAGACUCCUACGGGAGGCAGCAGUGGGGAAUAUUGCACAAUGGGCGCAAGCCUGAUGCAGCGACGCCGCGUGCGGGAUGACGGCCUUCGGGUUGUAAACCGCUUUUGAUCGGGAGCAAGCCUUCGGGUGAGUGUACCUUUCGAAUAAGCACCGGCUAACUACGUGCCAGCAGCCGCGGUAAUACGUAGGGUGCAAGCGUUAUCCGGAAUUAUUGGGCGUAAAGGGCUCGUAGGCGGUUCGUCGCGUCCGGUGUGAAAGUCCAUCGCUUAACGGUGGAUCUGCGCCGGGUACGGGCGGGCUGGAGUGCGGUAGGGGAGACUGGAAUUCCCGGUGUAACGGUGGAAUGUGUAGAUAUCGGGAAGAACACCAAUGGCGAAGGCAGGUCUCUGGGCCGUUACUGACGCUGAGGAGCGAAAGCGUGGGGAGCGAACAGGAUUAGAUACCCUGGUAGUCCACGCCGUAAACGGUGGAUGCUGGAUGUGGGGCCCGUUCCACGGGUUCCGUGUCGGAGCUAACGCGUUAAGCAUCCCGCCUGGGGAGUACGGCCGCAAGGCUAAAACUCAAAGAAAUUGACGGGGGCCCGCACAAGCGGCGGAGCAUGCGGAUUAAUUCGAUGCAACGCGAAGAACCUUACCUGGGCUUGACAUGUUCCCGACAGCCGUAGAGAUAUGGCCUCCCUUCGGGGCGGGUUCACAGGUGGUGCAUGGUCGUCGUCAGCUCGUGUCGUGAGAUGUUGGGUUAAGUCCCGCAACGAGCGCAACCCUCGCCCUGUGUUGCCAGCACGUCAUGGUGGGAACUCACGGGGGACCGCCGGGGUCAACUCGGAGGAAGGUGGGGAUGACGUCAGAUCAUCAUGCCCCUUACGUCCAGGGCUUCACGCAUGCUACAAUGGCCGGUACAACGGGAUGCGACACGGCGACGUGGAGCGGAUCCCUGAAAACCGGUCUCAGUUCGGAUUGGAGUCUGCAACCCGACUCCAUGAAGGCGGAGUCGCUAGUAAUCGCGGAUCAGCAACGCCGCGGUGAAUGCGUUCCCGGGCCUUGUACACACCGCCCGUCAAGUCAUGAAAGUGGGUAGCACCCGAAGCCGGUGGCCUAACCCUUUGUGGAUGGAGCCCCGUCUUAAAAGGGA
rnacentral:rRNA from 1 species